AAAAAAAAAAAAAGGUAUUUAGUGAAAGGUAAGGAUGUUAGAGCAGUUGCUUAUUUUCACUAGAGGAGGAUUAAUCCUCUGGACAUGUAAAGAGCUUGGAAAUGCUCUUAAAGGAUCGCCAAUUGACACUUUGAUUCGAUCUUGUCUUUUGGAGGAACGAUCUGGUGCAGCAUCUUACAACUAUGAUGCUCCUGGUGCUGCAUACACCCUCAAAUGGACUUUCCAUAACGACCUUGGCCUCGUGUUUGUUGCUGUGUAUCAGCGGAUCCUCCAUCUACUGUAUGUUGAUGAACUGCUUGCAAUGGCCAAGCGUGAGUUUUCUGAAAUUUAUGAUCCUAAGCGAAUGAACUACAAUGAUUUUGAUGAAACUUUUAGGCAGCUUAGGAAAGAGGCAGAAGCCCGAGCUGAAGAAUUGAAGAAAUCCAAACACGUGGGUAAGCCUGUAAAUGAUGGUAAGAAACAAGGGCAAGUGAAAAAAGGUGGGUUUGAAGUAGGAAAUAAGAAAAAGAGUGAAGCAAAUGAUGGUGGUGA
rnacentral:misc_RNA from 1 species